GUCUACAGCCAUACCACCCUGAACACGCCCGAUCUCGUCUGAUCUCGGAAGCUAAGAAGGGUCGGGCCUGGUUAGUACUUGGAUGGGAGAUACAAAGCUCUACCUAGAAUCCAACUUGUGAUCA
rnacentral:rRNA from 1 species